CCCUGCCAGAAACAGGGACUUUGGAGAAAACCAUAAAGAAGCAAAGCUGGAGUGAGAAGUUAUAGGUCCCAGGCCAGCAGUAAUUACAAUAUCUGUGUUUAUUUUUCUCUUAGUUCUGGAAACCCUUUUGCCCAUACUCUAAGACUUUAUUUGGACAGGAGUGGGAAAAAGGAAGGUGAACCAAUAAAAUGAAUGAACAAGAGCAGACCUUUGGAGCCCAACUUCCUGGAUUUCAGUGCCAAUUCUUCCAUUUACGAUCUAGGAGAUCAGCUUCUUCCUUCCUACUUAUGACCCAUCAACAAGAGUGAGGGGUGUUCUUUUCUGUGAAAAACACUGUCCUGGGCCCCAGUUCCUGCCCUCACAGUAUUCACUAUCAAGUUGAAAGGAGGCUCUGCAGUGCCCGUGGGCUGACCUCCGCCUGAUGGAUGCUGCCCAUGUAAGAUUGAUGACUCCACUUGAAAGCCUGAGGCUUUGAAGGAAGCGACUGAACACAGGUGCUUCAAUGAAAAAGUAUCUUGGAACAGAGGCCUUACUGCUCCAGUGUAACUGAGUUGGACAGGAAGAGGAGGGGAGAGAAUUUACUUUUUCGUUGAGCAGCAAGCUUCAAGAUCUAUGACAAGUGGGGAGGAGACAAGAUAGAGGAGUAUAAGGACUUGAGUUCACCUCCUCUCACAAAAACACUAAAGUAACAACUAACUUCAGAACAACCAUUGUAAAAAAAAAAAAGACUGGAACCUACCAAACAAAACAUUCUACAU